rnacentral:rRNA from 1 species
AUACGUAGGUGACAAGCGUUAUCCGGAUUUACUGGGCGUAAAGGGCGUGUAGGCGGUCUUGCAAGUCAGAAGUGAAAUUCCUGAGCUCAACUCGGGCGCUGCUUCUGACACUGCAGGACUUGAGUGCUGGAGGGGAUAGCGGAAUUCCUAGUGGAGCGGUAAAAUGCGCCGAUAUUAGUAAGGACACCGGUGGCGAAGGCGGAUAUCUGCACAGGAACUGACGCUGCAGCGCGCACGCUUGGAGAGCAGACAGGCAUAUUUACCCUGAUAGUCCACGCCGUAAUCGGUGAAUUCAAGGUGUACGGAGUAUCGCCUCCCUCUGUGCCGCAGGUAACACAAUAAGUAUUCCGCCUGGGAAGUACGGCAGUAAGGUUGAGACUGAAAUAAAUUGACGGGG